UGAGGAAUAUUGGUCAAUGGGCGUGAGCCUGAACCAGCCAAGUAUCGUGCAGGAAGACGGCCCUAUGGGUUGUAAACUGCUUUUAUGCGGGGAUAAAGGAGUCCACGUGUGGAUUUUUGCAGGUACCGCAUGAAUAAGGACCGGCUAAUUCCGUUCCAGCAGCCGCGGUAAUACGGAAGGUCCGGGCGUUAUCCGGAUUUAUUGGGUUUAAAGGGAGCGUAGGCCGCGUUUUAAGCGUGUUGUGAAAUGUAGACUCCCAACGUCUGCAUCGCAACGCGAACUGGGACGCUUGAGUACGCGCAACGUUGGCGGAAUUCGUCGUGUAGCGGUGAGAUGCUUAGAUAUGACGAGGAACUGCGAUUGCGAAGGCAGCUGACGAGGGCGGCACUAACGAUUAAGAUCGAAGGUGCAGGAAUCAAACAGG
rnacentral:rRNA from 1 species